UACGUAGGGGGCUAGCGUUGUCCGGAAUCAUUGGGCGUAAAGCGCGUGUAGGCGGCCAUGCAGGUCCGUUGUGAAAACUCGAGGCUCAACCUCGAGACGUCGAUGGAAACCGCAUGGCUAGAGUCCGGAAGAGGAGAGUGGAAUUCCUGGUGUAGCGGUGAAAUGCGCAGAUAUCAGGAAGAACACCCGUGGCGAAGGCGGCUCUCUGGGACGGUACUGACGCUGAGACGCGAAAGCGUGGGGAGCGAACAGG
rnacentral:rRNA from 1 species